rnacentral:rRNA from 1 species
UGGGGAAUUUUGGACGAUGGGCGAAAGCCUGAUCCAGCAAUGCCGCGUGUGUGAAGAAGGCCUUCGGGUUGUAAAGCACUUUUGUCCGGAAAGAAAUCCUCUGGGUUAAUACCUCGGGGGGAUGACGGUACCGGAAGAAUAAGCACCGGCUAACUACGUGCCAGCAGCCGCGGUAAUACGUAGGGUGCAAGCGUUAAUCGGAAUUACUGGGCGUAAAGCGUGCGCAGGCGGUUUUGUAAGACGGAUGUGAAAUCCCCGGGCUUAACCUGGGAACUGCAUUCGUGACUGCAAGGCUAGAGUAUGGCAGAGGGGGGUAGAAUUCCACGUGUAGCAGUGAAAUGCGUAGAGAUGUGGAGGAAUACCGAUGGCGAAGGCAGCCCCCUGGGCCAAUACUGACGCUCAUGCACGAAAGCGUGGGGAGCAAACAGGAUUAGAUACCCUGGUAGUCCACGCCCUAAACGAUGUCAACUAGUUGUUGGGGAUUCAUUUCCUUAGUAACGUAGCUAACGCGUGAAGUUGACCGCCUGGGGGAGUACGGUCGCAAGAUUAAAACUUAAAUGAAUUGACGGGGUCAAGCUGUUUCCU